rnacentral:lncRNA from 1 species
CACAUGAUAAUUUCUGGUAAAAUUGAGCAGAAAACUAAGUGUCAAAUUUAACAUAAUACUAAUUUUUUUUUGAUCAGUUAACAUAGUAGUAAUAAAUACUAUCAACAGCAAAUGAAUACAAAGUGAAAAAAGAGAAGUGAUUGUCAGCUACAAAUCAAAAACAGAAGCCUUGAAAUUACAAUGAUAGACAAUUUUUUGGUAAUAACAAAAUCCUUCAACUGAAUUUUUUUCUUUUUCCAAUACUCUUCAAAGACAAUCAGAACUGUUCAUUUCUAAGAAAUAUAACCAAAUCUCUAUCCAAUUACAAAGCUUUCCAGAGGUAGCAAUUCCAAAUAUUGAAAACAAUGAAUAUAACAAAAUGACCAUCAAAUUCAGAAUUUUAAAAAAGUGAAUAUUUUCCAUAGUUACCAAGAACUAAGCUGACAAAAAUUUCAAGAAUUCUCACCCCAGAGGAGAAAAAUAAAGUACCCCUUCUCUGCUUAAGAUGAAAAACAAACUUCAACACAGUUUAUUCAACUCUUCAAAACUGAGCCAAACUCCACAUUUCAGAACAUGGGGUUAAAAGAGAGAUUUCUCUACUUAAAAAGAUCCAAUUUUUUUGCUCACAGUUCAAAUUUUAUAUAAGUCAUUUCAUCAUUCACUUGGUGGCCAUGAACAGAAACCCCAGAAUCAAGAAACACAUGAGCAAGAACAGAAACCCCACAAACAAGAAACACACUUAUUUGCAUUUUGCUAUAUAACACAUUCAGCUCAGCCUUUAAUAAGCCUUCAAAGUACAAACCCAAUUAAAAAGACCAACACAAAAUGCCAAAACUACACAGAUAACGACCUGUUCUGACAUUGGUCCGUCAAUGUGGUAAAGGCGGUAACUUUAUGGUCGUCGAAGACUUGAAACAAGAAUAUUUAAAAUACGUCUCGCC